UACAUAAUCAUUGUGUAGUCCUUCGGGUCACCGGGACCCGAAGGACAACAAGGGUUAAUAUAGAAGCCUGG